rnacentral:rRNA from 1 species
UCGGAAUCUACUCUGUCGUGGGGGGAGUAACGUAGGGAAACUUACGCUAAUACCGCAUACGACCUACGGGUGAAAGCAGGGGAUCUUCGGACCUUGCGCGAUUGAAUGAGCCGAUGUCGGAUUAGCUAGUUGGCGGGGUAAAGGCCACCAAGGCGACGAUCCGUAGCUGGUCUGAGAGGAUGAUCAGCCACACUGGAACUGAGACACGGUCCAGACUCCUACGGGAGGCAGCAGCA